rnacentral:rRNA from 1 species
GUCUGAAUAGGGCGAAUAGUUGCAUGUCGUAGACCCGAAACGGGAUGAGCUAUCCAUGGGCAGGUUGAAGCGGGGGUAAUACCUCGUGGAGGACCGAACACAUAUAGGUUGAAAACUGUUGUGAUGACCUGUGGAUAGGGGUGAAAGGCCAAUCAAAUUCCGUGAUAGCUGGUUCUCUCCGAAAUGCAUUUAGGUGCAGCGUCUGACGAAUACUAACGGGGGUAUAGCACUGAAUUGGC